UCGAACAAAAGUUAAGUUCGGUCGAGUCUGUGAAGUAAUUCCAGAUCUGUUGUCUUUUAAAAGUUCGGUCUUCAAAUUUCAAACUUCGGUCGCGCGAAAAUCAACUUCGGUCGCAUGAAGUUCAACUUCGGUCGCGGCUUGACUGACCGAUCAUGUUUUAGUAAAAUGGUCGUAACAUCUUCGUUACUUGGAAUAUUUGCACGCCGUU
rnacentral:lncRNA from 1 species